rnacentral:rRNA from 1 species
UGCAAGUCGAACGGUAACAGAGGUGCUUGCACCUGCUGACGAGUGGCGAAAGGGUGAGUAACCCGUGAGCAACCUGCCUCGAAGUCCGGGAUAGCCUUGGGAAACCGAGAUUAAUACCGGAUGUGGCUGUUUUUCCGCAUGGUUUUACAGCUGAAGUUUUUUCGCUUCGAGAUGGGCUCGCGUUCCAUCAGCUAGUUGGUGAGGUAACGGCUCACCAAGGCAGCGACGGAUAGGUGGUCUGAGAGGAUGGUCACCCACACUGGGACUGAGACACUGCCCAGACUCCUACGGGAGGCUGCAGUCGAGAAUCUUCCGCAAUGCGCGAAAGCGUGACGGAGCGAUGCCGCGUGCCGGAUGAAGGCCUUCGGGUCGUAAACGGCUGUCACCCGGAACGAAUAUUGACGGUACCGGGAGAGGAAGCCACGGCUAACUACGUGACAGCAGCCGCGGUAAUACGUAGGUGGCUAGCGUUAUUCGGAUUUAUUGGGCGUAAAGGGUUCGUAGGGGGCCGAGUCAGUCUGAUGUGAA